GUGGCAGAGAUGGAGCUCCCUUUACCAAGGCUGAUCAAAUUGCUACUGCAGAUUGUCCAAAAUGUCAGCAGUAGAGACCAAUGCUGAGUUCUCAUUUGGUACCAGUCUUUGAGGAAAUCAAUUAGCCACUUGCUGGCAAGUUGAUUACAUUGGGCUACUUCCACCUGGAGAGGGCAGAAAUUCAUUCUUCUUUGUACUGAUACACGUUCUAGCUCUUACCUCAAAGUGAUUAAUAUGUCACAAAAUGGAUGAGCUGGACAUCUGGCUUCUAAUGGUUUUUCUGAUGGAGGCAAUAUGAUCAGCGAACAAGACAGAAAGGAAUGCAAGAGGAUGGAGAGAGAACUGCAAAGAACCUGAUUUUCUCAUUACUGAGUAGUCUACUUGUGAGCAUCUGAAGGUAUCUCGACAGGGACACAAGCACGCGCUGACAACAUGAUCAAUAGCUACAAGCAAGACCAACAGUUGUCUUUUUCACACCACCAAUUUCCCCUUGCCCAAGAAUGGGAUCUUCUCCAUCUCUCGUUCUCAAAGAUCAGCCUCCAGUGUGAACUGAGACAGCUCCCCAGCACUCGCCCAGGCACACCUGUUCAUGAUGCCAUUUUGAUGAACUUGAUUACCAAGCAGUGGCCUGCAAAGGGUUUGACCAAAAUGCCUACCUCACAAGGCAAAAUGUCCUGCUCUGGAUGGCACAUGCCUCACAGCAACAGGAAGCAUGUUUGGUAAACUGAAUUUCUUGAGCAGCAGAGUGAGCUGAGAUGUGGUUGCAUGAAGGCUCUUGUUCAAGGUUGUACCACUGUCAGCAUCAGUGAGCACUGGAGACCAAACUCACCUCUACCCGGGACCUCACACCUGUCACUGGAGAGGACGCUCUGAAAUCUCCUGGAAAGAAAUUUGCCACCAUUUCAUCAACCAUCCUGAGACAAGGAUUUGGGUACAAGCAGUUUCUUUAGGAGGUAAACUCAUGAAGCACAAUGAGGAAUUAGAGAAGUGAG
rnacentral:lncRNA from 1 species